UGGGGAAUUUUGCGCAAUGGGCGAAAGCCUGACGCAGCGACGCCGCGUGUGCGAUGGAGGCCCUUGGGUCGUAAAGCACUGUCAACUGGGACGAAAACACCUUUGCGAAUAGCAAGGGUGCUUGACGGUACCAGUAAAGGAAGCACCGGCUAACUCUGUGCCAGCAGCCGCGGUAAUACAGAGGGGGCAAGCGUUGUCCGGACUUACUGGGCGUAAAGCGCACGCAGGUGGUAACGCAAGUGGGGUGUGAAAGCCGCCAGCUCAACUGGCGGAGGCCAUCCCAAACUGCGUCACUUGAGGCCUGUAGAGGUAUGUGGAAUUGCCGGUGUAGUGGUGAAAUGCGUAGAGAUCGGCAGGAACACCCAGGGGGAAGCCAGCAUACUGGACAGGUCCUGACACUCAGGUGCGACAGCGUGGGGAGCGAACCGGAUUAGAUACCCCCGUAGUCC
rnacentral:rRNA from 1 species